rnacentral:rRNA from 1 species
AUUGAACGCUGGCGGCAUGCUUUACACAUGCAAGUCGAACGGUAACAGGCCUUCGGGUGCUGACGAGUGGCGAACGGGUGAGUAAUGCAUCGGAACGUACCCAGAGGUGGGGGAUAACGCAGCGAAAGCUGUGCUAAUACCGCAUGUGAUCUGAGGAUGAAAGCGGGGGACCGAGCAGCAAUGUUUGGCCUCGCGCCUUUGGAGCGGCCGAUGUCGGAUUAGCUAGUUGGUGGGGUAAAGGCCUACCAAGGCGACGAUCCGUAGCUGGUCUGAGAGGACGACCAGCCACACUGGGACUGAGACACGGCCCAGACUCCGACGGGAGGCAGCAGUGGGGAAUUGUGGACAAUGGGCGCAAGCCUGAUCCAGCAAUGCCGCGUGCGGGAAGAAGGCCUUCGGGUUGUAAACCGCUUUUGGCAGGAACGAAACGGUGUCCGCUAAUACCGGGCGCUAAUGACGGUACCUGCAGAAUAAGCACCGGCUAACUAC